rnacentral:piRNA from 1 species
UGGUAAUUUUUUUUAAGCCUCUUCCUUCCA